rnacentral:lncRNA from 1 species
UUGGGAAGGCAAAAUAAGGCAAAAGUGCCUCCCUUGCCCCCUUGAGGAAACUGGUAGACUUUCUGAGUAAUAAAAAUACAAAUACGCACACACACACACACACACACACACACACACACACACACACACACACACACACACACACACACACACACACACACACACACACACACACACACACACACACACACACAUAUAUAUAUAUACACAGUGUUGGGGUAAAGAUGGGUGUUCUGAGGAACCUCAUUUGGGCUCUGCCUGAACUGGCCCACCUUUCUUCUACAUGGGCUCAGGCUGGCCCAACGAAAGCUACUUGUGGUGAUACAUGAAACAUGGGGUGCAGGGAGCUAGCCCUUUAGUGUUCUUUGGCCCCUGGUGGUGGUAAUUUUGUCAGAGUUCCUAUUUUUAUUUUCUGUGCUUGGAAAUGCAUCCUCCUUCCAUGCUUCACUGAACAGCUCAUUCCUUUGAACUUCAGGUGCCAGACGUCUUUGAUACGGAGUAUGUGUCUUCUCAGCUAAGACAUUCUGCGAUUUUGGAGGCCAUAUGCCUCAGGAAAGAAGGCUACCCAAUCCGCAUCCCAUUCCGCCAUUUUCUAAUCAGGUAUGGAGUCCUGGCUGGCCGAGGACAGAGUGGCUUGCCUGAGAGAGAGGGCUGCGCUGCAGUGCUUUCACGUGCGGUGGGAGACCUGUCGGAUCUCUAUCAGAUUGGAGCCAGCAAGGUGUUCUUGAAAGAGAAAGCCAGGCGGAUGUUAGAGAGGCGAUGGAACCAAAAACUGAGCUGGGCCAUUGUUACCCUUCAGCGCAAUCUGCGAGGCCUCAUUAAUCGCAGGCGGUUCCAGGUCUUCCAGAAGAAGGUCACAGUCAUUCAGGCUUAUUUCCGGGGCCACCUGGCAAGGAAACGCUACCAAAGACUGAAGAGGACCUUGGUGCAAUUCAGGGUGGCCAUGCUCAUCUCUAGGCCACUGAUUCAUAGAAGGAGGCAUUACUACCAGGUAAAUGGUGCUGCUGAUAGUUUGGUGAACUCCAUGAGAAGGAUGCUUUCUGCUCUAAGGUUUUGUUGAGAAGCAGCAAGGCAAGUAAUAAUUAACUCUUGCAGUAACGAAGGAUGGGAUGAGAUUUUUAGACCAGCCCCAUCAAGUGCAUACAGAUAGUUGGUGGCUAUAGGAAAUAAGAAUAUUUCAUCACCAUUGGCUUGUCCUAUGUUGGGUCAGAGACUUCCAGACACUUGUGAUAAGAGGAGAACUGAUGGAAGGAAAGCAACUCAAUUUAUUGCCGAUCAUUAGCUAGACCCAUUCAAUGCAUUGUUUAAUGAAUUGGGUAGAUUUGAGGUGGUAGGACUGUGGAUAUAGGUUUUUAUAUGUAGACACCAGAACUUUGAAUUGACCUGAAGAGCAAAUAAGGACCCGGUGUAACUCCUUUAGAGUGCCUGCAAUGUGGUUCUGCCUGUCUGUACCAGAUAGAAUAUUAGAUACGGUAUAUUAUGCAAGCUAAGAGCUUCUGGGUUGGUUGUUGUGGGCUUUUCAGGCUGUUUGGCUGUGUUCUGGAGAUUGCUUUUCCUUACAUUUCACCAGUCUCUGUGGCCGGCAUCUUCGGAGGACAGGAGCUAGAACUGUGUGUUCUGGUGGCUUCUGGGCUGUCUUCAAGGGCAGCACCACAAACAAUACAUUACAGUAACCUGUCCUGGAGGUUAUCUGAUAAU